GAAUCUGUGCAACUCGAAAUCGUUAUCGUACGUCCAUGUCUUUUCUCCGGCCACCGAGACGAUGCCAUCUGUUUUGUGCGUCUUUAUAAACCAACGCCUUCGUGCUUCUUCGUUUCACUUUCACCCUUACCUCUAAUAUAAACUCAUCUCCCCCUUUUCAUCACUCUUCUAAAAAAUUCGAUCUUUAGGGUUUUGCUUUGAUCCCCGCUUACGGGUUUCACAAUCUCGACCUCUAGAGAUUGUAAAGGUACGGAUUUUGUCCUCAAUUAGAGGAUCGGGUCUUUGAAUAUAGCAGAAAUUGGGUAUCUUCGGUUGCUGAAUUCCUCGGAUUGCUGUGAAAUUAGGGAUUUUGAUAGGUUCAGGAGCUCGAGAUUUGACUAGUUUCAGGUUGAGUUUUCGGUAGUUUAUAUCUUACAAAGUAUCGAUUUUUUUUGGUUUGGUGAGGUCAAUUUGAAGAGUAAGGUUGAUCUGUUUGUGGUUGGUGGGGUUAAGUAAUGGAAGACGGCGAGCUUGAGUUCUCGAACCAGGAAGUGUUUUCGAGUUCGGAGAUGGGUGAGUUACCGCCUAGCAACUGUUCGAUGGAUAGUUUCUUUGAUGGGCUUUUGAUGGAUACUAAUGCUGCUUGUACCCACACUCACACCUGUAACCCUACGGGACCAGAGAAUACUCAUACUCACACCUGUUUCCAUGUCCACACCAAGAUUCUUCCUGAUGAUAGCGAUGAAAAAGUUUCUACUGAUGAUACAGCUGAGUCUUGCGGGAAGAAGGGUGAAAAGAGACCUUUGGGAAACCGAGAAGCGGUUAGAAAGUAUAGAGAGAAGAAGAAGGCUAAAGCUGCUUCUUUGGAAGACGAGGUCUCAAGACUUAGGGCGGUGAAUCAGCAGCUGGUGAAGAGGUUGCAAAAUCAGGCUACCUUGGAAGCUGAGGUCUCGAGGCUCAAGUGUUUGCUUGUGGAUUUAAGAGGAAGAAUAGACGGGGAGAUUGGAUCUUUUCCUUACCAGAAGCCAAAUAUUCCCUCUUUCUCCCACAUGAUGAAUCCGUGUAAUGUACAAUGCGAUGAUGAAGUUUAUUGCCCUCAGAAUGGGUUUGGAGGAAAUACCCAAGAAGUGGCAUCAAUCAAUGACCAAGGGUUGAGUGGUUGUGAUUUUGAUCAGCUACAAUGCAUGGCUAAUCAGAACUUAGGUGGGAAUGCAAACGGAUCAUUCAACAAUUCCAAUGCAUCUGUCUCGAAUAAGAGAAAAGGUGGGCAUCGUGCAUCAAGAGCUGUUUGAAGUAUCAUCGAGCUUGUACCAUCUAUUUUCAACCAGCAUAGAUAUUGUAUUCCAAAUAAGUUGUAGAGUUCAGCUGCAGCAUCAGCUCCGCUCAGCUUUAAGGAGUUGGUGGGGAGUGUCUUUGUGGCCGGAGUGAGAUCUCUGGACAGCUGAGUUAUAAAAGAUUGACUUCCUGCGAUCUCCUACCUUAUAUGCUUUAGAAAUAACAACUAUACUUGAGGAUUCAUGAAUCUUAUUAGAAAGUACCCAGAUUUGGUAGUAUAGGCAGGAUUCCGACUUCCCAUUAUGCAUCAUGUUGUUUAGUGAAGAACUAGGUAUGCCCAUGAAGCACAAUGUUUUGUACUUAGAGCUUGAGAAUCUCUCUCAGUGUCUCUGUUAUAGUCUUACUGUAACAUUGCUAUGUUUUUACAA